UGCCAGCCGCCGCGGUAAUACUGAAGGUGCAAGCGUUAAUCGGAAUCACUGGGCGUAAAGCGCUCGUAGGUGGCUUUGUAAGUCAGAUGUGAAAGCCCACGGCUCAACCGUGGAAUUGCAUUUGAAACUGUAAGCCUAGAAUAUGGGAGAGGUAGAUGGAAUUUCUGGUGUAGGGGUAAAAUCCGUAGAGGUCAGAAGGAACACCGGUGGCGAAGGCGACUUCCUGGACUAUUACUGACACUGAGGAGCGAAAGCGUGGGGAGCAAACAGGAUUAGAUA
rnacentral:rRNA from 1 species